UCCAGUUGAUCCUGCUGGCGGCUGCGGCUAUUUGGUUUGCAAUUAGACAUGCAAGUCUGUUGAAAGACGGCGAACUGCUCAGUAACACGUAGCUAACCUGCCCUAAUGCUUGGGAUACCCUCGGGAAACUGAGAUUAAACCCGAAUAGGAAAUAAUUUCUGGAAUGAUUUAUUUCUCAAAGUUAGGAUGGGGCUGCGGCUGAUUAGCUUGUUGGCGGGGUAAUAGCCCACCAAGGCAUUUAUCAGUAAGGGCUCUUAGCGGAGAAGCCCUGAGAGGGAGUCUGAGACACUACUCCCAGCCCUACGGGGUGCAGCAGUUAGGAAAAUUCUGCAAUGUACGAAAGUAUGACAGAGCAAGCCAAAGUGAUUCUCUAAUAAUUGAGAAUCUUUUAUGCGAUGUAAAAAGUCGCAUGAAUAAGGACUGGGCAAGACUGGUGCCAGCCGCCGCGGUAAUCCCAGCGGUCCAAGUCGCAGCCACUUUUAUUGGGUCUAAAACAUCCGUAGCUUGCCUCGUCAGUCUUUUGUGAAAUCUGGCCUCUUAAGGGUCAGGCGAGCAAGAGAUACUGCGAGGCUAGAGAUCGGAAGACGUAAGAAGUACGCAUAGGGUAGCGGUCAAAUGUGUUGAUCCUUUGUGGACUAACGAUAGCGAAGGCAUCUUACGAGAACGAAUCUGACAGUGAGGGAUGAAGGCUAGGGGCGCAAAACGGAUUAGAUACCCGUGUAGUCCUAGCAGUAAACACUGCACACUAAACAUCGGUCCCUCCUCGAGAGGUAUCGGUGCUGUAGGGAAGCCGGAGAGUGUGCUACCUGGGAAGUAUAGUCGCAAGGCCGAAACUUAAAGGAAUAGGCGGCGGGAUACUACAACCAGUGACGCGUGCGGUGAAUAAAAUUGCCGCAGUAAAAUUUGGCUAUAUGCGGGAACGUCUCGUUAAGCGUUCAGUAGGAAGUUAUCGUCGUGAGAUGAUAAUGAUUACUAAAAAUCUGAACGAUAGAGAAAAUCCGCAGGGAAGGCUAGAAAUUAUGUUAUCACUUAGAAAAGAUAACAAGCAGAAAGGUUUAAAUAAUGUUAAUCUUCUAAGAUUUCAUGGAAAGAUUUUACGAAAUCACCAAAAAAUUUGAAGCAGGUCACACACUAGAGAUAGGAGUGCUUAGAUGUUCACAUAACGAAGUUCAUGUCUUUUUCGAUGCAGGAACACGAUAUGAAAAUUGUUUCAAGACAGGAAGGAAAUUAUCAAGUAACUCAUAACUUUCUUGGAAGAUCUCCUUUAGGAAGUUUCCAUCAGGAUUCUGAUGGACAUUUAAUAUCCGAUUCUCCUUCAUUAAUUUUAGAAGAAAUGGAUGAACAUCAUGCUAAGCAAUAUGAAAGUGAAAUUGCAGUUAGAAGAAUUGCACGACAACAUUUAUAAUAAUUAAUUUUCUAGAACCCUCAGAGACUACAUGCCAGACACUAACAAAUAAUUUCAGUUAGUGAAGAUAUAGUCCGAUCCUUACAGAGAUGUAAGGAGUUGCGCAGAAAUGCGUAACCACUGUUACAGUAAAAUUUAAAUAAUCCAAAUACUAACGAAUAGUAUUAGAUGGACCAGCCGGGAAUCAAACCCGGAUUUCAAGGGGAUCAGCCAAGAGUCUUAAUCAUUAGACGACUGGCCCAUCUGACUUUUUUUAAAUUUCUAAAUUAUUUAAAUCUAUUUUAAAAAUAACAGUUGUAACAUAAAUGUCAAUUAGAUUCUACACCGUGAACCUCACCAGGGUCGACAGCAGAAUGAAGGUCAGUCUAAAGGGCUUACCUGACACGCUGAGAGGGGCCGCAAGGCCGACGUCAGCCUGUGUCGUGAGAUGAUCUGUUAAAUCAGAUAACAGGCGAGACCCGCGUGUACAUUUACUUUGUACAAUGUACAGACUGCCUUGGUAACAAGGAGGAAGGUGCGGGCUACGUUAGGUUAGUUCAGCCCGAAUGCCCUGGGCUACACGCGCGCGGCAAUGAUACAUCCAAAGGGUCGCAACUCCGAGAGGAGAAGCUAAUCUCAUAAACUGUAUCCUAGUUCAGAUUGAGGAUUGCAACUCAUCCUCAUGACGCUGGAAUUGGUAGUAAUCGGAUUUUAUCAGAGUCCAGUGAAUAAGUCAAUGUCCCGUGCACUCACCGAAAGAAAUGUGCUUGGCAGCUUUAUUAUCUAGCAAGUGAAAAUCUUGCAAUUAUUUUUCAAUCGUCAAUUAGUGCGGAAAAAUAAUUUAGUCGACGGCAGGCGUAAUCAGUAAUGGUUAAGCUGAAGGGCCCGAGACAAAAUUCAGCCCGUGUUCCGCAAGGAACUUCACGACGACAUCUGCAUCGGGUCGGUGGCAGAUGGAAGUCAAAAGAAUUUAACGUGGAUGAAUGAAACAGAAAAUAAAGUGACCCAAGGAGAUCCUAUUAAAGAAAGGUUUAAAUAGAGAAAUAUUUCCGUAUAAUUAUGGAAAACUUAGAAAAGAUUACUGAAGCUGUAAAGAUUUUGGCACUUACAGUGCCUGUAACUGCUUUAUAUAUUGGAGCAAUUAUAGCAGCAGGUAAACAUGCUGAAAAAAGUUAUAUCCUUAGAAAGAAAUAUAACUCAGAAAAAGCAGAUAAAACUGAACAAAUUGGAAGAUAAUCCAAUAUGCUAGUAAUGCUAAUUAAAUUUCUAAACGCAAAAACUAAAUAGGAAGUCAGCCUAACUCAUAGUACUUGAAAAAGGAAGGGGUUAGACCAAUGUUAAACAACGAUUAUAUUGUCGGAUUAGUCGACGGAGAAGGUUCUUUUUACGUGCGUCUCAAUACAGACAAACGCAGAAGAAACAAAGUUGAAUUAAAAUUCAGCUUGAAACUUCGUCAUCAAGACAAAGAAAUUCUUGAACAACUCAAAUCGUUUUUUGAUUGUGGAAAUAUCUACAUUCAAAGAGACAAACGUCCAAAUCACGAAAUUUGUUACAGAUUUGAAGUCAACAACAAAAAGGAUAUUAUCAACAAGAUAAUUCCUUUCUUUGAAACUAAUCCUCCAAGAAUUAAAUCUCGUUCAAGAGAUUUUGAAUUGUUUAAGCAAAUCACAAAUUUAUCUCAAAAAGAAAAUCUUGAUUUGCAAUUAAUUCAAUCUCUAAAAGAACAAAUGCAUUGGGCUCGCAGUAUACGAGAAAAUCGUCUGUACUGUGGGGAACCAAGUAGCUCUUAAUAAUUAAGAGUGAAAAAGGAAAUGCCCGUCAAACCAACCGAGUUAUGCUUUGGCGAGGCCCGUUAGGGACGAACCUCGGUAUAGCAAGGUAGGUUAAGUCGUCACAAGGUAUCUGUAGGGGAACCUGCAGAUGGAUCACCUCC
rnacentral:tRNA from 2 species